AGAGUUUUAAGCCAUGAAGACUCUAGGGUUUUAUGAGAAGAGAGGUGGGAGCAUGAAUACAGACCCUUAGAUCUUCAUCUUACUUCUCUUCUGUUGAUCAAUAAGUUGCAUUCACACUAGAUCUUCAUGAAGAAUAAUUUUUUAAUCUGAACCCUUAAGAUUUAAGUCAUAUUCACACUUGGUUUCAUUUAUCUUCUAAUAUGGACCC
rnacentral:lncRNA from 1 species